rnacentral:lncRNA from 1 species
CUGAUCUUAGGUGUUUUUGAACAUUCUGAAGCAUUCAUUUCAUUGCUUAAAACCAAAGAAAGGAGGUAGAUAUGAAACUGCAACUUUGGAAAAUCGACAUUUACGAAGAAAUUGCACCCAAAAUAUGCUGUUGGAAUUCCAGUCAAUUCAGGAGUAACUUCAACCAGACUUUUACCUGAUCCGGCUGGCCAAUACAGUGUUACGCCUUCUCCUUCCAAUGAGCACUCCAAAAUCAGAAAGAGUAUGUAUAUUUUCUUGUCUUUAAAACUCACCAAGAACUCCCAGUUCCGUUAAUCACAACCUUACUGGAUUUUCUUGGAAAUGCAGGCAGAGCAAAUUCAGUAAUCCCUGGGAUGAACAAAUUUGGAGAACUGAUGUACAAUUUCGCUCAAGGAUUCCGAGAGCAUGGUAAAGCCUUAACCUAGUUUAUUUAUAUAGAAGUUAUUAUCAGACCAUUGGAGCAUGUGCACUAUGCUCGACUAGACAUAGCCGGAAAAAAUUUAAGACCAUAACGUUACAAAUUCUCAGGCAUACUCCUAUUUCACGCCUAAUGUUUUGCUUUAUUAUUAUCUCUGCAGUGAAAUUAGGACCCAAGUUCACUGAAACUUUGAAAGGGAAGUUGAGGCUCGGAGCAAGAAUCCUUCAGGUAGGCAGACUGGAAAAAGUUUUCCAGCUAAACUUCAAUGUUAGCAACGGCGAAAAGCUCUUAACGGCCUCUCAAUGCUAUUUAUCGACCACAGCUGGACCGAUGGCAGGCCUCCUGUUUAUUUCCACUGAUAAAAUUGUUGGAAAAAUUGGUCGACUUUGGCACGAGUUUUGAGUGGGACCCAGUUGUUUUAUUUGAAAGAUAAAAGUUGAUUUGUAUUCUCUUCCGUGAGUACAUCGAAAUCAUAUACUUACUUGCUAAAGUUGAUACUCGGGUGAAUGAGAAAUUGAGGUUCAAAGUGUGCCACUCAAAAGGGAGUUUAUGUGGGAAAAAUGAAUUUGUCUCACAUAGGAAAAAGAUGAGGAACUCCAAAAGUCAUUGCCAUUAAUGGUAGCCUAGCCUAUAAAUAGUGACUCAUUUUCCUCAUUUCAACACACAAACAAAAAAAAAAAAAAAGCAAAAACUUUCAAGUUUAGAAUAUACUAGAAAUUCAUUUGCGUAGAGUUCUCUCUUGGUGGUGGUGUAGUUCAGGCACUAGUUCAGUUCGCCGGAGUGGUUUCUGCGGUGCUCGGAAGCUACUAGUUUUACCGUUGUAUCCUGAAAAAUGGACGCUCGUUUUAAACCUCAAGCACAGACGGUGAGGGGGCGAAUCUGUUUUAAGAAAACUGUAUGUAACACAGGCCUCGGGUUAAAAUUCUAUGUUUCAGUUGUUUAAUUCAUGCAAUUUUUCGUAUUAAAUUUACAGUCCAUGCUUCAUGAAUUUAUGAUAUAUUGUUCGUAUGCUUCAUGAAUUUUAAAUUCUGUUGGAACAAAAGUUAUUUGUUGGAAAUAAAACUUUCAAUGAUCCGGUGAAAAUUCGAUAUACGGUUGUUUGAAUUUUGUUGACUUGCAUAGUUGCAAAAUUGAAAGGCUUUGUCAAAAAGACCUAAAUUGUCUAAGAAGAGUUUGGGAUUUGAGCGAUCCAGUUGUGACCCCCUCCUCAUCUGGGAGUCUUUUAAUUGCGCAUUAUUCAAAUUGACGAGACGAAAGACAACAUUUCCCGAUUUUAUCCACAUACACUGAAUUUUCUACAAGCUUAAAACAUAUUUUUAGAAAGGAAAUUUUGGUUUCCUAUAUUGAUUAUCUCUGAACUGAUUAGUUUCUUAUAUUUGUUAUAUUGUGGAAGCUAAUUUGUUGUUUGGUUCUUUCGGAAGAAGAAAUGGCAACCGGUUCCACCAACAUAGAUUCCAACAUGGAUGUGUCCCAAACUGAAGGUACCCAAUCUCAGGCUGUGAGUUCUACUAUGGGUGUAGGGCCUAGUUCGGCUAUGGGUGCAGCUAUGGCUGUAGGGCCUAAUUCUGUUAUGACAUAGACUGUGGCUCCAAUGCCAAGUCGUGUUGUGAGCCAACAUGUGGCUAAUGUUCCGGUUAAUGUACCAGUUAACCAUGGGGAAAAGCCAGAGAAAUUCAACGGCUUGAAUUUCAAGAGGUGGCAGCAGAAAAUGCUGUUUUAUCUGACCACCUUGAAUCUUGCGAGAUUCUUGACUGAAAGUGCUCCAAAACUCCUAGAGGGUGAGGUGGAUGUUCAAGCUAUCAGUGCUGUUAAUGCUUGGAAACACUUGGACUUCUUAUGCCGGAAUUACAUCAUGAACAGUUUGACAGAUUCGCUAUACAAUGUGUAUAGCACCAUGAAAACUGCUAAGGAGUUGUGGGAGUCUUUGGACCGAAAAUAUAAGACUGAGGAUGCCGGGGCUAAGAAAUUUAUCGUCGGCCGAUUCUUGGACUAUAAGAUGGUGGACUCCAAAACUAUAAUCAGUCAAGUGCAAUAACUCCAAGUGAUUCUUCACGAAAUUCAUGCCGAAGGGAUGAUUCUGAGUGAAACUUUCCAAGUGGCUGCAAUCAUUGAAAAAUUGCCUCCCGCGUGGAAAGAUUUCAAGAAUUAUCUGAAAUACAAGCGAAAGGAAAUGAACGUUGAAGAACUAAUUGUUAGACUUCGAAUUGAAGAAGACAACAAGAGUUUCGAAAAGAAGUGGUUCAAUCCUGGUGCGGCUAAGGCCAAUAUUGUUGAACAUGGUCAAGGUAGUAAGAACUACAAAAUCAAAGUUGGGCCAUCCGGUGGAAAAGGGAUCAAGCUGGGACCAAAAGGGGGCAUUCCUAAGAAGAAAUUUCAAGGGAAGUGCUUCAACUGUGACAAAGUAGGUCACAAAUUUUCAGAGUACAGAUUGCCAAAGAAGAAGAAAGAAGUAAAUGUGGUUGACUACAUGGCACAUGAUGUGUCGGAAAUAAGUCUCACAGCAGUCAUUUCUGAAGUGAACAUGGUGGGUUCUAACCCAAAAGAAUGGUGGAUUGACACCGGAGCUACGAGACAUGUGUGCUCUGAUAAAGAGUUAUAUACUACUUUUGAAGUAGUUGAGAAUGGAGAGAAGUUGUUCAUGGGAAACUCAGCAACUUCUGAAAUCAAGGGCCAAGGAAAAGUGGUUCUAAAGAUGACUUUGGGAAAAGAGCUGACUCUCAACAAUGUGCUGUAUGUGCCGAAAAUCAGCAAGAACCUUGUGUCUAGGUCACUUUUGAAUAAGCAUGGUUUUCGCAUUGUGUUUGAGUCAGACAAGGUCAUCUUGUCGAAAAGUGGAAUGUUUGUCGAAAAAUAUUAUGUUUCCGAUGAAAUGUUUAAAUUCAAUGUAAUGGUUGUUAAACCAAAAAUGAAUAAUAAAG